CAAUCGUGCAAUUCUCACCCCAAAAAAUACCAAAACCUAAUUUUAUCCCAAAACUCCCACCCCCACCACACCCCUACGCCGCCGCCGACGCCCUAGCCCCACCACACCCCUCCCCGCCGCCGACGCCCCAUCCCCACCACUGCCUGUCCUCCGCCGCUGCCCUUGCUGUCCGCCAGAGGGGGGAACCACAGAAGCAAGUUGACUGGUGAUGUAGCUGGGGAGCUUAGUGAUACAUCUGUAAGUUGUGAGGAAACUAGAUCCAGUUCUCAGGCUAUUGCAUUUUCUCCAUUGGAGCAGCAAUUGCUGAAGAAGCCCCAGGUGAUUACAGUGAUUCUGAAAGUUAACAUGCAUUGUGAGGCUUGUGCUCACGAAAUCAAGAGGCGUAUACAAAGAAUGAAAGGCAAG